UCCCAGAAUCAACAGUUCAAUAAAGUAAAAAUAUCAAACCCGACCUCUGAGAGAGUGGCCAGAUUUGCUUUCAUGAGAUGAGUCUGACAUGAGUGGAAAUCUCUCAGGAAGGAGAGAGUCAGUGCCUUUCCGUCUGGCCAUGGUGCUUGGUUGGGUUUGUUUCACAAUGUGGUUACCAUUACACAAGGAUUUGGCCAAAUUAGGCUGAAAGUACUCAGCUGAAUUCCCACUGAGUGAAGGGCACAAAGGACAAACCUAGAAUAUUAAAUAUUAAUUUAAGUCAAAUAACAAAGUCUUAAGAAAAUGUUGAAGCUUUGUAUAAGAGGCCUAGAAACAUAUGUACCUCCACACACUGAACCAGCUCUACUCUUGUGUAUUCCAAGGAGAAUGCCUUGGCGGGUAAAGCAUGUAAGAAUAGGGUCAGUGAUGUACAUGACUGACUUUUCUCCCACCUAAGAAUUUGAGAAAACAAUCACCACAGUCAUUACAAACCAAGGACUCUUAGCCAUAACAGUUUUUAUCAAAAAACCCAAAUAUGCGUAAUGUUUGAGUUCUGGGCAUGAGGAGCUGAUAGGAGAUUUCUUUGAGCAGAUAAUGACCAUAAAUUUUGUUGUGAAGUUAAUGUGAUCUUCAAAAAGAACAUAUUCUACUUUCUUACAUUUUUUUUUAAAUUGUGUUUGUGUGCAUGUGUGUAAAACUUACCACCAUGGAUUUAUUUGAGAAGAUCUUCCUUGAGGACCUACUAUGUGCUGCCCCUCUCAGUCCAGACUGCCAUCGCUUCCCAUGCAGACAAGCCUUUUCACCGGCAGGUCUGAAGUGGGAAGGGAGAAUCUACCAGGUCCAGAAGCUGUCCAGGUGAGACCACGGAAACUCUGGGACCACAGGACUGCAAGCCUGCUUCCCUGGGUGGGAGCGGAAUCUAGACACAGGCGGGAUUGAGGCUGCAUUUGUGUCUUCACAUAAACCCGCCUGCAAGGCCCAGUCAGCGCUGCCACUAAGCAGGAAGCCUCCAGCUCCCUUUCUUGGUCUGCAUUGGACACGCUAGAACUAGAAACUUCUGAAAGCCCAUGAAAGGUAA